CCACACAUCCAUAUUACCCUGAAUAUGCCAAAUCUCAUCUGAUCUUGAUGCUAAGGAUGGUCAUGCCUGGUUAGUACUUGGAUGGGAGAAUUGGAGAGAAGACCAUAAUUCCUGGU
rnacentral:rRNA from 1 species